UGCUGUACUGAUGUAGGAGUUGAAUUCUCU
rnacentral:piRNA from 1 species